AGUCUUGGUCAAUGUCGUUCGAAA
rnacentral:miRNA from 1 species